UACGGAAGGCAGCAGUGGGGAAUAUUGCACAAUGGGCGCAAGCCUGAUGCAGCCAUGCCGCGUGUAUGAAGAAGGCCUUCGGGUUGUAAAGUACUUUCAGUCGUGAGGAAGGUGUUAAGGUUAAUAACCUUAGCAAUUGACGUUAGCGACAGAAGAAGCACCGGCUAACUCCGUGCCAGCAGCCGCGGUAAUACGGAGGGUGCGAGCGUUAAUCGGAAUUACUGGGCGUAAAGGGCACGCAGGCGGUUAAUUAAGUUGGAUGUGAAAUCCCCGGGCUUAACCUGGGAAUGGCAUUCAAGACUGGUUAGCUAGAGUCUUGUAGAGGAGGGUAGAAUUCCAUGUGUAGCGGUGAAAUGCGUAGAGAUGUGGAGGAAUACCGGUGGCGAAGGCGGCCCCUGGACAAAGGACUGACGCUCAUGUGCGAAAGCGUGGGGAGCAAACAGGGAUUAGAUA
rnacentral:rRNA from 1 species